rnacentral:rRNA from 2 species
UGGGGGAUAUUGCACAAUGGGCGAAAGCCUGAUGCAGCGACGCCGCGUGAGGGAAGACGGUUUUCGGAUUGUAAACCUCUGUCUUCGGGGACGAAACAAGACGGUACCCGAGGAGGAAGCCACGGCUAACUACGUGCCAGCAGCCGCGGUAAUACGUAGGUGGCAAGCGUUGUCCGGAAUUACUGGGUGUAAAGGGAGUGUAGGCGGGGCUUCAAGUCCGUUGUGAAACCGAUCGGCUCAACUGAUCGUUGCGGCGGAAACUGGAGUUCUUGAGUGAGGUAGAGGCAGGCGGAAUUCCCAGUGUAGCGGUGAAAUGCGUAGAUAUUGGGAGGAACACCAGUGGCGAAGGCGGCCUGCUGGGCCUUAACUGACGCUGAGGCUCGAAAGUGUGGGGAGCAAACAGG